rnacentral:rRNA from 1 species
AUGAACGCUGGCGGCGUGCUUUACACAUGCAAGUCGAGCGAGGCCAGGGGGCAACCCCUGAGUCGAGCGGCGAACGGGUGAGUAACGCGUGGAUAACCUGCCCUGAGGUGGGGAACAACCAGGGGAAACUCUGGCUGAUACCGCAUGAUACCGAGAGGUCAAAGGGGGCUCGCAAGGGCUCUCGCCACAGGAGGGGUCCGCGUUCGAUUAGCUAGUUGGUAGGGUAAUGGCCUACCAAGGCGACGAUCGAUAGCCGGCCUGAGAGGGUGAUCGGCCACACUGGAACUGAGACACGGUCCAGACUCCUACGGGAGGCAGCAGUGGGGAAUUUUGCGCAAUGGGCUAACGCCUGACGCAGCAACGCCGCGUGGAGGAUGAAGGUCUUUGGAUUGUAAACUCCUGUCGACCGGGAAAAAGCGACCCGACCUAAUACGUCGGGAAGUUGAUUGUACCGGUGGAGGAAGCCCCGGCUAACUCUGU